GAAUAUUGGACAAUGGGCGAAAGCCUGAUCCAGCAAUGCCGCGUGAGUGAUGAAGGCCCUAGGGUUGUAAAGCUCUUUUACCCGGGAUGAUAAUGACAGUACCGGGAGAAUAAGCCCCGGCUAACUCCGUGCCAGCCGCCGCGGUAAGACGGAGGGUGCUAGCGUUGUUCGGAAUCACUGGGCGUAAAGGGCGCGUAGGCGGCUUGGGAAGUCGGCUUGUGAAAGCCCGGGGCUCAACCCCGGAGGUGCGGCCGAUACUCCUAGGCUCGAGGCCGGAAGAGGAGGGUGGAAUACCCAGUGUAGAGGUGAAAUUCGUAGAUAUUGGGUGGAACACCGGUGGCGAAAGCGGCUCUCUGGUCCGGUCCUGACGCUGAGGCGCGAAAGCGUGGGGAGCAAACAGG
rnacentral:rRNA from 1 species